rnacentral:rRNA from 1 species
UGGGGAAUAUUGCACAAUUGGCGAAAGCCUGAUGCAGCGACGCCGCGUGAGGGAUGACGGCCUUCGGGUUGUAAACAUCUUUCAGCAGGGACGAAGCGCAAGUGACGGUACCUGCAGAAGAAGCACCGGCUAACUACGUGCCAGCAGCCGCGGUAAUACGUAGGGUGCAAGCGUUGUCCGGAAUUACUGGGCGUAAAGAGUUAGUAGGCGGUUUGUCGCGUCGUUUGUGAAAACCAGCAGCUCAACUGCUGGCUUGCAGGCGAUACGGGCAGACUUGAGUACUGCAGGGGAGACUGGAAUUCCUGGUGUAGCGGUGAAAUGCGCAGAUAUCAGGAGGAACACCGGUGGCGAAGGCGGGUCUCUGGGCAGUAACUGACGCUGAGGAACGAAAGCGUGGGUAGCGAACAGG